rnacentral:snRNA from 1 species
GCUCACUUUCCGGGGACG